rnacentral:misc_RNA from 1 species
UCUCCGUUGGUGAACAGCGGAGGGAUCAUUACAGAGUUUUCACAACUCCCAACACUUGCGAACCGUACCCAUUCUGUUCUCGUUGCUUCCAGCGGGGGUGACGUGGGGGCCCGAAACGGCCUCCCCGCCCCGCCCGCCUGGGGCGGCGGGCCCUCCGAACCUUUAUAUCUCAACCACCAGACACCGACUGAGAACAAAAAACAAAACAUCAAAACUUCCAACAACGGAUCUUUUGGCUCUUGCCUCAAUGAUGAACGCAGCAGCUCGGCAGAACACCCC